ACUAAUUUACAAAGAUGUCUUCAUUGUAAGGACUUGGGGGUUAUAUUUGACACAAGAUUGCAAUUUUAUGAGCAUAUGAAUAAUAUCUGUACGACAGCGUUUAAGAUAUUGGGUUUUAUUUUACGUAAUACAGACACAUUUAAGAAUAUUUCAUGUAUCAAAAAACUCUACUAUGCAUUUGUGAGGAGUCAUCUUGGGUAUAACAGUGUUAUCUGGUGUUCAUCUUAUAAGAUAUAUAGUGAAAUGAUUGAAAACGUUCAGAAACAAUUUUGUAAAUAUCUUUAUAAGAUUAAACAUGGUCGUUGGCCCCCAAGGCAUUACCCUUAUAAUCAGCUCUUAGAUGAAUUUGAAUUAGAACCUCUUAGUCUUCGUAGAAUUUUUCAUGGUCAAGUGUUUUUGUAUAAGCUUGUUAAUAAUGUUAUUAACUGUUCUUUCUUGCUCUCAUGUUUGUGUUGUAAUGUCCAACGUGUCAAUAGCAAAAUUUCUGUAUGCUUCAAAAAUCCUUUAUCGAAAUCAAGACAACAUAUGUAUUCUUUCGUAAUGUUAAUGUGCUCAAAUUAUAAUUUGUUACACAAACAUGUUGAUAUAUUUAAUAUGCCACUAAGUACUUUUAUUAAUAAAAUUAAGUCCAUAUUAUGUAGACCGCUAUAAUGAUUUAAAUUUAGGUUAACACGUGUAUUUUACUACUUACGGAUGACAUAAUCGAAACAAUUGGAAAUAUUUUGAAUGAACCAAUCAGAGAAGGGGUACCUAAGGGUCAAAUUCGUGUACCAUCCGUUAUUUCCGCUUGCCCCACCGGCACAUGUUGCCUUCACAACAAAUCUCAAUUUGCCUGGUCUAAACGAUAUAUGGUCGAAGAUUUUAAUCCUGGCUUUAAUAACAAUUUGUUGAACAGUCUACAGUGUCAAGUAAAGGACAUGGAUUCUUUAGAUCGUCAUUGCACACUAUUAUUUGACGAGAUAAAGCUGAGCACUAUGACAAAAGUAGACAAGUCAUUAUCGGAUUUGAAGAUUUGGGUCAUUUGGGUCGCUCCCUGAAAUAUGCGGAUCAUGGCCUUGCUUUAAUGGGAAGAGGUAUUCGCAAAAGAUGGAAGCAGCCCAUCGCGUAUUAUUUUACCGCGUCCACAAUUUCGGCAGUUGCGUUGAAGCAAAUUAUUGUUAAAGCCGUAGAAAAAUUAAAAUCAUUAGGACUGAUUGUUCAACAACAAUCUACAGUCUCUGACGAAGGUGCUACCAAUAGAUCAGCUAUGACUCAGUUGUGUUCUUCGGUAAAUGACACUCCUUCAGGUUAUCAUUUUGAAAUCGACGGUUCCAAAAUUAAUUGCAUUUUUGAUCCAGUACAUUUAUUGAAGAACACUAGGAACGCACUAAUUGAAAAUUUUAUUGAAUUCGCGCCAGGCAAGAGAGCACAUUUUGAGCACAUCUUAAUGGUUUUUGAAUCAGAUCAGAAAAAGAAAUUUAGAUCGUUGCAUAAAUUAUCUCGAGAAGAUUUUAAUUUCAAAAAUUCUUACACUAAAAUGAAAGUUUCUGUUGCUGCGCGUCAGUUGAGUUACAGUGUUGUCUGUGAGUUAGAAACGUAUGUCUCACAUAAUCAAUUACCACCAAAUGCAUGCGGAAACAAAUGCGGAAUUUAUCCAUUUAAUUGAUCAACUUUUUGAUUCUUGUAAUGGCAACACAAAGUAUUCAAAACGCGAGAGCAAAUCUUUGAGAUGUGCAAUUAGAGAAGAUUCCCCACAUAUUAAUUUUUGGACGGACCUUUUCGCAAAAAUUAAUAAUUGGAAAGUAAUAAAUAAAGCAACUGGUAAGAAUGUUACUAACCAAUUUCAUUUCAUUAAUCGAUGAAAGUGAAAAUUCAUUCCAUAAUUGCAAUUUGGCAUUUAGCGUUGAUCGUGCUUUAAAUCAAGAUACGGUUGAAAAUUUGUUCUGCUGUGUUCGACAGCAUGGCAUUGCAAAUACCAACCCCACGUGUUUUCAGUUUAUAUCUGCUUUGAAGACGUGUGUUCUUAACAAUCUAGUUAUGCCAUGCAACUCUCAAAACAACUGUAAAGAUGAUGGGGAUUCUUUACUUGACAAUUUGACGGCUCUUUUAAAAGAAGGUGUUCAAGAUGACUCUGUUUCCGCUACGGAUGUAGUGUUUGAGGAUGAGUCGCUUGAACACCAAAACUUUUUACCAAUGUAAACGUGGGGGACAUCCAGGGAUUGGCCUAUGUAUCAGGUUAUAUUGUCAAGAAAAUGGCAGUCCCCGACUCUCUUCAUUCCCCAGAUGUGACUCCUGCAGACACAACUGUAAUGUUCCGUGAUGAUGAAUCAAGUUUUAGUUUACCAUUAUUUGGGGUGUACGGGAAAUAUUGGAAAAGUACCAGAACUUCUAUUGGAUGAUCACGUUUCAUAUUUUAAAACGGCUUCAAUAGAUAGCUAGCGAUAGAUAGCAAUAGAUAGAUAGCUUUUUCUACAUAUUUCCAACUCUCACCUAUGACUCCAAGAAGUUAUCUGUUAAGAUAGCGGUCACACUCCGGUAAACUGUGUUGAUCCACAGGCUAAACUAGGUGAGGGUAUGUCUUCUUAUUGCGAAUAAACACAAGAACGGGAGGCAUCAACUUUUUGGCAACUACCCUCGUCUACCACAUCUGGACCUUCAUAAAGCGCAGUUUGAAUCGAAUGUGAGACUGGAAGUGCUUUAUAAAACGUAAAAGUAAAGUAGUUUCGACGCCUGUUAAAAUUAAGUUG